GUAUGGACUAGACCGGGAAGUUAGGCGUCUCCUGUCACCGGAAAUCGCCUUCAGUCGGGGUCGACGUCCAACGGCGGCGUGGAGCCCAGGCAGCGAUCCAGCGUUGGACAAUGAAAUCCCGUCCCCUGGGACCAGAGGUGAUGGUCGCAGCCGGCCGGAGGGUCGUCUGCCCAUCUUGGUUUCGGACAGAGGGUCAGGCCCGGAAGGGAGCAGCCCGGCCGAAGACUAAUGGUGCUCAGGGGGUCGCGGGAUUGAGAAAAAUGCUGGGCCGUCGCUGCAGGGAGCUCCCCGCCCACCGCGGACAUGUCCAUAC
rnacentral:SRP_RNA from 1 species